UAAAUAUUUUGAAAGACGAUAAAAAAAUUAAUCAAUCUUUUUCAUUUAGUUUUAGUUUAGAAAAUUCAUUUUAGAAAUCCAAAUAAGAGCAUCCACCAUUUAACAUAAAAUCUAUUAAUAAAAAAAUAUUUCCAAGUUGACUAAUUUAAAUCCCUUGAUCAGUGUUAUCGCGUGAACCUUACAAUUUGGAUGUUAUUAUGCGUAUAACUUGUGAUGAAGUAUUAGAAAUUAUAGUGAUAAUAUUGCCAUAGAUGAUCUCCCUAAGUAAUCGUUUUAGUCUGUUUUACAGUAAUUAUUGCUAAAAUCUGAAUAAGUCUCAAGUUUUAAACAGUUUUUUAGUGGUUUCCCUUGACAUAACAUCGACAAGACGUUGUUUUAAUAAAAAGGACAUCUAACAAAGUGUUCAUUAUAAGAAGAGAAGAAUCGGAAGCUGUAAGAACAGUUAUAGGAAGAAGAGGUAGAGGAAGACCAAGAAAGAAAUGGAGAGAUGUUAUUGAAUGCAUGCGAUAUGAGGACACCUGAUGUGAAUGUAGAGGAUGUGGGAGAUCGUGUCAAGUGAAAGUUUAGGAUAAGGGUGGCCUACCCCAAGUAGUUGGGAUUAAGGCGAGGAAGAAGGUAGGUGUUCAUUAAGGUGGAUCAAAAGAAUUGGAUCAUCGAAAAUUAAAUGAGAACCCUUAUAACUUUAUUAUUACAUUAAAAUAAACAUUUUGAAAAAAUUUGGGAUUUAAAAAAAAAUUUACUGGUCGUUCUACGUAUUUUUAGUAUUUUGACCAAAAAUACCUCAAGAAAAAAAGUCAACUGAUAUUCAAUUUUCAUUCAAUAUUAUGAUUAGUAUAUCAACAUAGUUUAAUUUUUACUGUAGAAUACAAGUUUUAAGUCAAAAAUUGAUAACGUAGAUGUCUAAUUAGCGUCAUUAUAUCUUAAAAUUAAAUAUUUUUUUUUUAAUAAAUAAUUAGCUUAAAAGGUAUGAGUUUUUAAGAUGAUUGAACAACUUUUUUCUAUUUAUAAUAUACAUAAGUGACAGCCAAAAUGCAAAACUUGAGACCUAUCAGAAAUAUACCAUAUAUUGGUGCUAAUUAGACAUCCACUAUAUCAAUUUUUGAUUUGAAACUUGUAUUCUACAGUUGGGUUAGUAACUAUAUUAUAAAUCAUAUUUGAAUAAAAAUUGAAUAUCAGUUGACUUUUUUUUUCUAAGGAUAUAUUUGGUCAAAAUACUAAAAAUACGUAGAACGACCAGUAAAUUUUUUUUUAAAUCCCAAAUUUUUUCAAAAUGUUUAUUUUAAUGUAAUAAUAAAGUUAUAAGGGUUCUCAUUUAAUUUUCGAUGAUCCAAUUCUUUUGAUCCACCUUAAUGAACACCUACCUUCAUCUUCUUCUUCUUCCUCGCCUUAAUCCCAACUACUUGGGGUCGGCCACCUUUACCCUAAACUUCCGCUUUACGUUGAUCAAUACAUUUUUUUUAAAUUUUUACAUAAUGUUUAUUUUAAUGUAAUAAUAAAGUUAUAAAGGUUCUCAUUUAAUUUUUGAUGAUUGAAUUUUUU